ACACAUGCAGUCGAACGGCNGCAUGANCUAGCUUGCUAGAUUGAUGGCGAGUGGCGAACGGGUGAGUAAUACAUCGGAACGUGCCCUGUAGUGGGGGAUAACUAGUCGAAAGAUUAGCUAAUACCGCAUACGACCUGAGGGUGAAAGUGGGGGACCGCAAGGCCUCAUGCUAUAGGAGCGGCCGAUGUCUGAUUAGCUAGUUGGUGAGGUAAAGGCUCACCAAGGCGACGAUCAGUAGCUGGUCUGAGAGGACGAUCAGCCACACUGGGACUGAGACACGGCCCAGACUCCUACGGGAGGCAGCAGUGGGGAAUUUUGGACAAUGGGCGAAAGCCUGAUCCAGCAAUGCCGCGUGUGUGAAGAAGGCCUUCGGGUUGUAAAGCACUUUUGUCCGGAAAGAAAUGGCUCUGGUUAAUACCUGGGGUCGAUGACGGUACCGGAAGAAUAAGGACCGGCUAACUACGUGCCAGCAGCCGCGGUAAUACGUAGGGUCCAAGCGUUAAUCGGAAUUACUGGGCGUAAAGCGUGCGCAGGCGGUUGUGCAAGACCGAUGUGAAAUCCCCGAGCUUAACUUGGGAAUUGCAUUGGUGACUGCACGGCUAGAGUGUGUCAGAGGGGGGUAGAAUUCCACGUGUAGCAGUGAAAUGCGUAGAGAUGUGGAGGAAUACCGAUGGCGAAGGCAGCCCCCUGGGAUAACACUGACGCUCAUGCACGAAAGCGUGGGGAGCAAACAGG
rnacentral:rRNA from 1 species